rnacentral:rRNA from 1 species
UCGAGCGGUAAGGCCUUUCGGGGUACACGAGCGGCGAACGGGUGAGUAACACGUGGGUGAUCUGCCCUGACUCUGGGAUAAGCCUGGGAAACUGGGUCUAAUACCGGAUAUGACCAUUCCAUGCAUGUGGGGUGGUGGAAAGAUUUAUCGGUGCAGGAUGGGCCCGCGGCCUAUCAGCUUGUUGGUGGGGUAAUGGCCUACCAAGGCGACGACGGGUAGCCGACCUGAGAGGGUGACCGGCCACACUGGGACUGAGACACGGCCCAGACUCCUACGGGAGGCAGCAGUAGGAGU